rnacentral:rRNA from 1 species
AUUGAACGCUGGCGGCAGGCCUAACACAUGCAAGUCGAGCGGCAGCGGGUCCUUCGGGAUGCCGGCGAGCGGCGGACGGGUGAGUAAUGCCUAGGAAUCUGCCUGGUAGUGGGGGAUAACGUUCGGAAACGGACGCUAAUACCGCAUACGUCCUACGGGAGAAAGUGGGGGAUCUUCGGACCUCACGCUAUCAGAUGAGCCUAGGUCGGAUUAGCUAGUUGGUGGGGUAAAGGCUCACCAAGGCGACGAUCCGUAACUGGUCUGAGAGGAUGAUCAGUCACACUGGAACUGAGACACGGUCCAGACUCCUACGGGAGGCAGCAGUGGGGAAUAUUGGACAAUGGGCGAAAGCCUGAUCCAGCCAUGCCGCGUGUGUGAAGAAGGUCUUCGGAUUGUAAAGCACUUUAAGUUGGGAGGAAGGGCAGCUAGUUAAUACCUGGUUGUUUUGACGUUACCAACAGAAUAAGCACCGGCUAACUUCGUGCCAGCCGCCGCCGUAAAAC